rnacentral:rRNA from 1 species
AUUGAACGCUGGCGGAAUGCUCUACACAUGCAAGUCGAACGGCAGCACGGACUUCGGUCUGGUGGCGAGUGGCGAACGGGUGAGUAACAUAUCGGAACGUAUCCAAUAAUGGGGGGAUAACGAGUCGAAAGAUUCGCUAAUACCGCAUACGCCCUACGGGGGAAAGCUGGGGACCUUCGGGCCUGGCGUUAAUGGAGCGGCCGAUAUCUGAUUAGCUAGUUGGUGAGGUAAAGGCUCACCAAGGCGACGAUCAGUAGCUGGUAUGAGAGGACGACCAGCCACACUGGAACUGAGACACGGUCCAGACUCCUACGGGAGGCAGCAGUGGGGAAUUUUGGACAAUGGGCGCAAGCCUGAUCCAGCCAUUCCGCGUGAGUGAAGAAGGCCUUCGGGUUGUAAAGCUCUUUCGCAAGGGAAGAAAACUUAGCCACUAACAUUGGUUGAGGUUGACGGUACCUUGAUAAGAAGCACCGGCUAACUACGUGCCAGCCGCCGCAGUAA